rnacentral:rRNA from 1 species
ACGGAAGGCAGCAGUGAGGAAUAUUGGUCAAUGGGCGGAAGCCUGAACCAGCCAAGUCGCGUGAAGGAUGAAGGUAUUAUGUAUUGUAAACUUCUUUAGCCAGGGGGCAAUAAGGCGUACGCGUACGCCGGUGAGAGUACCUGGAGAAUAAGGAUCGGCUAACUCCGUGCCAGCAGCCGCGGUAAUACGGAGGAUCCGAGCGUUAUCCGGAUUUAUUGGGUUUAAAGGGUGCGCAGGCGGCUUUCUAAGUCAGUGGUUAAAUCGUGACGCUCAACGUCAUCACGCCAUUGAUACUGGAGAGCUUGAUUGCGGUCGAGGUUUGCGGAAUUCGUCGUGUAGCGGUGAAAUGCAUAGAUAUGACGAAGAACACCGAUUGCGUAGGCAGCAGACCAGGCCGUAAAUGACGCUCAUGCACGAAAGUGCGGGGAUCGAACAGGAUUAGAUACCCUGGUA